rnacentral:rRNA from 1 species
UACGGAGGGUGCAAACGUUGCUCGGAAUCAUUGGGCGUAAAGCGCACGUAGGUGGCCUGUUAAGUCGGGUGUGAAAGCCCUCGGCUCAACCGAGGAAGUGCAUUCGAAACUAGCAGGCUUGAGUAUGGAAGAGGGUCGUGGAAUUCCCGGUGUAGAGGUGAAAUUCGUAGAUAUCGGGAGGAACACCAGUGGCGAAGGCGGCGACCUGGGCCAAUACUGACACUGAGGUGCGAAAGGCGUGGGGAGCAAACAGG